rnacentral:lncRNA from 10 species
UGACGCAGUGUUGUCGUCUCGUAGGCUUGAAAGGUUGGAUACAAUCAGUGAUGCACAUUUACCAGACAGAGGAUGUGCAGCGUUUACUGUUGAUUUCUCUCUUUUCCUCCCUAUCACCUCAGUUUAGUUCCAGGAUCCACACUCCUCCACCAUAGUCAGGAGAUUCAGGGAAAGUUGGCAGGGUUCAGCUUUCAAGUUGACCCUUGAUGAACCAUGGUCAAUCCUGUUAAGAGGCGUGAAAGCCAAUCCCAGCCAAUGAGACUGGGGAGAAAUCACUGAAGAACUUGUGGAAAACAGACCCUCUGGAUAAAAGACACGUGUGGGGAAAAAGGGGCUUUUUAAUGUUAUUCUGGAUGUUUCCCAAAAGUACUGCUGCUGCCUUGCCUCCCUGACAGACACUGGCCUUAGGAUGACAUGCGGCAGGAAGGAAGGACGGAUCUGGGGUUUUUCAAGACUCACUGAGAUGCACAAGGAACCAACCCUCAAGUAGCCAACUCGUUCCUGUUUGCAUGUGUCGACUGAAAAGAAUCAAAAUAAACAAAAUAUAACUAUUUCUAAGAGGUUACAACUUGCAGGCAGGAAGCAGGCCUCUACCUGAGGCCAUAAAGCAUACUUUGAAGGAGAAAAGGUAGGUAUUUAUGCUAGGUGGAGAGGUAGGAUAUACGUAUUCUGUAGCAUACAGGAGAAGCCUAUGAAAAUUCAUGGAGGAAACUCGUUAGAGACACGCACUGGGCUUACAUAUGAAGAAUAUCCAAAAGCGGAUGACCUGUGUUCACUCUGGGGUGAAGAUUUAACAUUUAAAUGUAUUAUAAUUAGGCUGUAAAUGCAAAAAGGUGAAACAUAGGGCACAAGUUCACGAUCUGUGCAAUCUCCAGAGACCAGUCUGAUCUAGCCUGCAGCUGGCAGUCAUCUGUCAAGAAGGGGCUCUUUGUAGCCCAGAGUAGCUGUCAGGUUGGAACCAUAAAACCAAAAGGAGGGCAUCGGCGGUUAGGUGAAGAAAAGAAGUCUUUUGGCCUUUUUUCCUCUUCAAGUCAGCUUUUGAUAAGAUCUAGUAAUAAUAAGGGGAUGGGUGUGGCUGCAGGUGGGACAUGUCGGUUCUCUGUCCUGUCACAGCUAAGAACUAAGAACUUUAGAGUCUUUCAGCCAUAGAGGGUCCUGUCAUCCAUUGAAGGGAUCAGUCCAUUGGGAUUUUGCCAGUUUUAGCAUUGAUGCUGUGUCCUGGGAAACCCCUGAAUACUUAUCAUAGCAGAAGUUCAGCCACUGUAGCCCUACCUCAGGACCGCUUUUAUGGGAAAGAAUAAUUCCUUUAACUGCUUGAGCCAUUUGAGUUGUGGCUGCUUUUGGUACUUGUAAUAAAUUGAAAGCAUCUUGAAUGUUCUGGGACAGUAAAAGAAUGUGCCUUUGUUUCUGACAGCAAUUAUAAAAUCAAUUAUAUGUUUAUAUUCUAAAAAAUGUUUUGAGUAAUGCUGACAUCAUUGGAAAAGUGCAUCACUUAGAAAAUGUAUCUGUGUGUCAAUUUUGUUUGUUCAAAAUCAGUUUCAUUAAUUUGUGGGAAGAUACACCUUGUACAUUUUACCUAAUUAAAAAAAAUAUUGCCAGUUGAGU